rnacentral:rRNA from 1 species
GACGAACCGUGCGAACGUUGUUCGGAAUCACUGGGCUUAAAGGGCGCGUAGGCGGGUCUCAAAGUCCGGGGUGAAAUCCUCCAGCUCAACUGGAGAAGGGCCUUGGAAACUAGAGGUCUCGAGGGAGGUAGGGGUCCGUGGAACUUCGGGUGGAGCGGUGAAAUGCGUUGAUAUCCGAAGGAACGCCGGUGGCGAAAGCGACGGACUGGAUCUCUUCUGACGCUGAGGCGCGAAAGCCAGGGGAGCAAACGGG